AUUAUGCUAGUAGAGAUGCCUCUAAAGUGUAUUUGUUGGGUUCUUUCCCUCGAUGGAGAGCGUUUAAGGAGCAGCAUAAAUUGAGAACAGACAAGGAUGUGGCGGAUAUGCUUCUUGACAGCUAUCUUGCGAUGAAUCGUAUAGUUUGCAAUGCAGAGACGCAAACCGAAACGGUAAUGGAAUCAACGGAUAUGCCGCCAGUUAAAACCUCAACGCCAAGCGCGCACUCAAUCCGCGUCGAUUGUCUGCUUUGUCGGAUGUUAGAACAUCAUAUUCUAUCAGGUCGGGUCAGAGUGUGAUUUCUGACAGUCGAACAUUGACAGCCAAAGAUGAUAGUUCUGAUGAUGAAAGUGAUGAUGAU